GAAAAACAGUCAGAGUAAAGGUCUGUGAGGGGAGAAGUGAAGGGGAGCUUGGUGGUGUCUGUGCAUAUCACAGUGUGAAAUGAAUCUUGCUGCAGCAGGCUGCUCCUGGGUCCAAGUGUUUUGACAGGUGCAGCUGUGCCAACGAGGAGAACCUUGUAUUGUGAUCAGAACCCUGAAGUAGAAGAUUUAAUGAAUUGAAGAGUUUUAAGAAACUGUUUUCCUCUAGAAAGACAAUUUUCAUUGAACACCUUGUUCUAGCUCUAUCCACCAGUAGGUGCAGCUGAAGUGGAAAACUAAGUUAGAAGAAAAGAAGAGAAAAUAAAUGUCAUCCAUUUUGAGGAGAUGCAUCCUAAACUCCAGGAGAAAAAUGGAAAUAACUAAAAGCAAGUACUUGAGCAUGGCAGAAGACAUAUUAAUUUUGUUCCUGUAACAACAGUAAUUAUAAACCCUUACUUCUGCUGAGAUUCUGGGAUUUGGCCCAGUUGAAUUGAGGGGACUCAAGCUGCAAGGAUGAAGACGUCUGUGAUGGCUAAGCUGUAUUUCUGCAGUGACUGAGAUGCAUCUCAUUAUAACAUUCUCAGGGAUGAGAGAUUGCUCGUCUUAAAAAGAAGUGAUUCAUGGUGUUUUAGAAGCAACUUCUACUCAAAUUCCAUGCAUUUUUAGAAAACUGACACCCUCCUUGUUAUGUAGAGGUGUGAAAGUAUGGAUGCAUGCUGAUAUCAUAGCUCUUUCAUGAGCCAGAGCAACAGGUGAUUGCUCAUUUUUGAAGGCUCUCCAUCUUUGUUCUAUUAGCAGGACACAUCUGGUGCUUCCACGAAGGGUUUUCAUGUGGAGAGUAUUCUUCUUGGUAGCAGCAAGGUCCCACUUUAAAUGCUGUUCUGGUUUCGAGCUUUGCUGUUCAAAAAAGGGACGGGAUGUGAUAAGGGAUGACCAAUGCAUAAAUACCUGAUGGAGAAGGCGAAGGAAGAUGGAGCAAGAGACAGAGAUAUCCAGUGGCAGGACAAGAUGCAAUGGGCACAAACUGAAACAUAGAAAAUUCUGUGUAAAGAAGGAAGUCUGUUAUCCUGAGGUUGAUUGAACAUGGGGACAAGCUGUGCAGAGAGAUAGUGCAGUCUCCAUCCUUGGAGAUCUUAAAAAAAGUAAUGGAUGAAGUCUUAGGCAACCUUCUUUAGCUGAUUCUGCUUUGUGUAGGGGAGGCUGACUACAUGACCUCAGAGGUUCCUUCCCACCUCAAUUAUCCUUUGAUUCUGAAGAUUCCUUUGAUUCUAAAGAUGCACUCUUUUUUGCAAAUGCAGGUGUUAGGCCUGUAUUUAAUGCUCUCUGCCUGUCCUAUAUAUAUUUCUGGUUUUAUUAGAUUUGUGUGGCCAUGCAGGUAUGGUAGAUGCAUAUGUCUAUUCUGGUGAAUUUUCCAACUCUUUGUACCCACAAGGUACUUUUGAUGGUCCUUUGUUGUGAUGAUAAUAGAGUCAUUUAAGGUCCUGAAAUACCUAACAUGAGUGCUUUUAGUUGCCUGCUUCACCGCAAGGCCAUUGUAAAGUAGGAACAAGGCCAUUGUAAAGUAGGAACAAAUAUCUUGUGUUUGGCAAAUUAGAAAUUGUUAAAAGGGUGAACAUGAUGGCCAUGCCCUGAGUUUGCUCUCUCUUUGUGAGUAAUACUGAUUGAAAGUGAUAAAUGGCAUAUGCAGCUGGAGGAAACUCUUUGUGAAUAAUGACAUUUGUCUCUUCCAUGAAUCAGUGUGCACUGGUGCUCAGUAGGAACAAAUAUCAAGCUCCACAGUCUCAAAAUGCAAUUCCAGGUUGGCUGCUCGUAAUAAUUCCCCUCCAGAUGACAGCCUUUAGGACAGAGAAUACCAUCAAUACACGGAGGAACUGAAACUGUUGUCAUCUUCAAAUCCUUCAAAGGCAUUGAAUCAGUUGGUGUCAGUCCAGCCAGGUGACCAGAAUGGUGUGUCUGUUCAUCAGAGAUGGUUUUCAGCUUCAUCUGGUGCUACAGGAACAGUUUGGAAGCAGCUUUUACUUGUUGUUUGCAUUUCAAGUUAAGGAGGCACCAUGCUGGCUGGAAGCCAGCACCCUUGUGAGGUGCUAAGGGCAUGAGAAAGGAGGGCUCAAGUUAAUUCCAGGACGAAACUGCAGCACGUGGGGUUGUUGAGUCCUUGAAUAUCCAUAUUUCCACUCCUCUAUUUAAGGAGUUUGCUGGGCUCAGCAUUAUUUUGCAAGUACUGUGAAGGGUGCCUUUUAUCUGACAUUGCUUUUAGCAUGGGAGUGGAGGUAAACUGAGGUCCUUGUGCCAUUUGAUCUGCACGACACUGCUCACUACCAGAGACACCUACCUUCCAAAGAGGGUCCGUGAAGUACUUACAUCUCUUUCUUGACUUUCAUCUUCUGUUAUAAAUGCCUUGUAGCCAUGGUUUCAUUUCAUAUAAAUCAUAUAUAAAUCUUUCAAGAAAUGCAAACUGAAAUUGUCAGCCCACAGUUUCUCCAUUAGAGAAAUUAAUCUAUAGUAUCAGAUUGACAGUAAGUGAAACUAAUUUGUUGGAUGUGUAAAUUCAGACCAAAAGUUCAUUUUGAUCAAUUGAAAGUUUUCUAUUGAUUUCAGUACACUUUGGUUCACACCCUUUAAACUGUAGCACACUGAUCUAAACAUCGGGGCAUUCAGGUGUCCAUCUAGUGAAAGUAAAACAGAGCAAACCACAGUGUCAUUAUACAUCAUCACAUAGUUAUUUGUUGCUGAUCUUGAAAGAACUGAUCUGCAUUUGCUCAAGAUUUUGUAUGUAAAAGAGAAAUUACAUCCCCCAGAAGCUGCUGGCCUGAAAAAAAAAGCUAAUAAAAAUGAUAUCCUCUAAUGAAUGAAAAAUAAUGAAAAUGUAAUGAACAUUACAUGUAUACUGCAUGGUAAACAACCUUCUCCAAAUUAUUUUGGAGCGCCUAACUGCAUAGAAAGAGGAAGAUAGAUGUUCUUGCUAACACCCACAUAUUACUGCACAAAAGACAAAAGAGAGAUAAGGUGGAAGACUGUGAAUCCUGUACUUUAAUUUAGAAGAAGGAAAGGAAAAGACAGGGGGCCAUACAUCCAAAAGAUCUCAAACAAAGGUGGACUCACUGUGAAAUAUAAAAUUUAUAAAAUUCAGUCGUGAUACACAGGAGUUUGACCAGGUCCAAAGAAACCUAUUUCAAAAUCUUUAUCAUUGGCAGUAAGAUUAAUAGGGGUGAUGAUUUCUAUGAAUUGCAAAAAUUUGUUUUCCUCUGAAAUUAUCAGCAGUUGGAUUUUUAUGGCUAUGCAUUUUAUUUGGCACCCAUUGAAAACUGAUUAAUAGAAGUAUGGUUUGAGCAAGAUAAACCUAUCCAAAAUCCAAGUGAAACCUGCAGGAAAAAGAGCCAAAAAUACUGAGUAAAUAUUUUACUGAAUAUUUAAAAUAUUUCACUCUUCACAAAAUUAUUUUUUUAUUUCCAAAAUAUUUGAAUAUGACACUCUUGAAGUGUAACUUUCAAUCUUUUGCUUUUAAAAUGUUAUUCUUCAUUAAAAAUUAUCUUUGUAGAAAACAAAAGAAUGUCCAGAUAAUAAGUAACCCAUAAACAUAGAAAAUAACACCCAGGGUGAGGGUGAGGGGGAGCGAGAAGGCACAAAUUUUGCCAUAUCAGAUAUUAUCAAGUACAAAAACCCUGCAAAGAAAAUACUCUGGGCCUAAUAGAAAGUCCUUUGAAGUCAGUGGGAGUCUUUUCAUUUACUUCAAAGGGCUUUAGAUCAGGCCUUAUUACAACAGUAUAAAUAAUGCAGUAUGAGCACAGAGAAUUGGGGCUUGGCACAUGGGUGUUAUGAAAUCUGGAAUAUUGACUCAUUCUACAUAAAAUCAGUCAAAAUAACAAUGGUUUAGAAAAAGAAAUCACAGACACAAUUAAUCUAAGUAACAACAUUAUUAAAGUUGUUAACUUUAGAGUUAAUAAUCUUGAUUGGGCUGUUAACUUUGGUGGUUGCAGUUUAGUAGACAAAGAAAAUAUUUCAUUUUUGACUAUCCAUAGUUUCCAUUCUGCUGCACAUAUUCUUGGAGAAAAAAAAAAAGUUUGUUUUAAAAAAUGGCAGUUUAGGCCAGGUUUUUAAAUGCUUAUUUUUCUUAUGCAUUCUACUUGUAUAUUAGUUUAGCCCUGAUUCUCAGAUUAUUUAAUGGGACAUUUGUGGAAAAAAUUUGAUCUUUUACAUAAAAAUGAAUUAUAGUGUCAUACCAUAGAACUGAGCACUUUGUCUAUUCUUUUACAUUGAAUCUUGGUCUUUUUGAUGAAAUAUUUCAAAUAUCUGUGUUUUCAAUCAUUACUUCAUAUUUCUGUUCUGUGCUUCUCCUACUUUUAAUAGUAACUUCGUUUACAUUUAGCUUUGUUUUCACUAUUACAUUUCAGUGCUGUGCUAUUUUGCCUUCGUAUCAACACAAAUUCUAUCAGCUCAUAAAGAAGCUGUGAUUAAAUAAUAACUGAGAGUCUCAUGAAGUAUUCAUUAGUUGUCUGUAUGUCAGAGUCACACUGUGGUACUCCCACAGAUGAUAAUUUGAGAGGCAUGGAAGGGGGUAUAACCUGCACAUCACUAUCAAAUUUAGCAAGUGCAGAGAGAGCAGAAUUACAGUUCCUUGAUACCUAAACUGUGCCCUGAUUCAGCAAAGCAUUUGAACCCAUGUUUAAUCUUGUAUGUACACCUUGAUUUUAUUGAAUCACUGAGUAAUGCAGAUUUAAAUUCUCUGAUGAAU